rnacentral:misc_RNA from 1 species
CUUCUAUGAAAGAAAUACCACACUUGAUCAUUUGACCCCCCUGCGGCAUAUCUUGGCAAAUCCCAGGGGUCGAACUUGCAGAGAUCAAUAAGCCGAAUAUCAUCAUCAACCAGCCCAUCAUUUCCAGCCAUCUUGUGCUUUAGAAAGUAACUGACGAGUUCCUCAUCAGUUGGAUGGAAUCUAUACCCUACUCUUCCAUUCAUUUUGUCAGAGAGUUACUUUGGAUAAAGAGUCUCAAAGUGAGAACAAAAGCUCUUGUGUCUGAUACUUUCUCUUGUGAAUAAGAGGAAAACAAAACAAAAACCGAAUUGCUCAUUGACUUGAGACCUUUUAAGUCUUCUUGUUGCUAAGCUCAGCUUAGCCGAGACGCCACCUCAUGUGGAAUGAUU